UGAGGAAUAUUGGUCAAUGGACGGAAGUCUGAACCAGCCAAGUAGCGUGCAGGAUGACGGCCCUAUGGGUUGUAAACUGCUUUUGUAUGGGGAUAAAGUUAGGGACGUGUCCCUAUUUGCAGGUACCAUACGAAUAAGGACCGGCUAAUUCCGUGCCAGCAGCCGCGGUAAUACGGAAGGUCCAGGCGUUAUCCGGAUUUAUUGGGUUUAAAGGGAGCGUAGGCUGGAGAUUAAGUGUGUUGUGAAAUGUAGACGCUCAACGUCUGAAUUGCAGCGCAUACUGGUUUCCUUGAGUACGCACAACGUUGGCGGAAUUCAUGGUGUAGCGGUGAAAUGCUUAGAUAUCAUGAAGAACUCCGAUUGCGAAGGCAGCUUACGGGAGCGCAACAGACGCUGAAGCUCGAAAGUGCGGGUAUCGAACAGG
rnacentral:rRNA from 1 species